UCAGACACAGACGCAUCUUGGAUUGCUCUGAGGAUUUACAUGUUGGAUUAUACUGGAGAAAUUGAUAUUUUACUUUUUAGCUGGAGAGGUUGAGUGGAUAAAGUUUCCCUUUUUGGCCGUUCGUCGAAUUAAGUGGAGACAUCGUGUCGCCGUCGAGCUGAGGAGAAAACUUGACAAAAACCUGGAGUUUGUGAGUCGUGCUCCUUUACAAGUUGGAGUGUGUGCCUAUGACAGAACUUUUCUGGCCGGGUCUAUUUCCUUGUCCUUGUUUAAGCUAGAUUGGUGUGUUUUCAAGAGUGUGGACUUCUUCUGCUGCUUCUCUGCGCUGCAACAGUGGUAGUAGAGUUCAGCAGUCGUGGCGAGCCAAGCUUAUUGAUGAGACAAUUCUGAGAUAUCUGAGCUGUUGUAUCCAUCGUCAUUCUGGUAGGACUGAUUUUUCCCAUGACACUGAGGGAUUUUGGUUCUUGCAGACUUUGUUGUUAAAGGACAUUAAGAGAGAAACUGUUCGUGCUUUAAAGGAGCAUACUGUAAUUUUAUUGUGUUGAAUUUGUAUUUGAUUUCAUUGUUUGUUGUAAAUUGAUAUUCAACUUUAUUCAACGUUAAGAAAUUUAAAAACUCAUUGUGUUGACAAUCUUAAAGCAUAGCUUAACUGUAGGGUUAAAAUUAGCAUAGGAUAAACUUAAAAUAGAUCUUUAACACAUUAAGAACUAAAAGUCACUAACAAUAAUAGGUUUUGUUUUUUUUGUUUUUUUUGUUUUAGGUCACAGUGUGAAUAACAUUGUUGAAGAAAGGGAAAGACCUCAUUGUUUAUUGUGACAAAUGUUUAUUUAUUAUUUGUUACACAAAUAAUUAAUACAGU